UUAAGUGACUAAGCGUACACGGUGGAUGCCUGGGCAGUCAGAGGCGAUGAAGGACGUACUAACUUGCGAUAAGCGUAGAUGAGGCAGUAAGAGCCACUUGAGUCUACGAUUUCCGAAUGGGGAAACCCAGCUGCAUAAGCAGUUAUCUCAAUGUGAAUUCAUAGCAUUGUGAGGCGAACCGGGGGAACUGAAACAUCUAAGUACCCCGAGGAAGAGAAAUCAACCGAGAUUCCGGCAGUAGCGGCGAGCGAAACCGGAUUAGCCCUUAAGCUAAUCUUGCGUUAGGUGAACAUGCUGGAAAGCAUGGCAAUAAAGGGUGAUAGCCCCGUAACCAACAACGCUUUAUCAGUGAAAUCGAGUAGGACGGGACACGUGUUAUCCUGUCUGAAUAUGGGGGGACCAUCCUCCAAGGCUAAAUACUCCUGACUGACCGAUAGUGAACCAGUACCGUGAGGGAAAGGCGAAAAGUACCCCUGUGAGGGGAGUGAAAUAGAACCUGAAACCGUGUACGUACAAGCAGUAGGAGCAGGCUUGUCCUGUGACUGCGUACCUUUUGUAUAAUGGGUCAGCGACUUAAUUUUAGUAGCAAGGUUAACCAUCUAGGGGAGCCGUAGGGAAACCGAGUCUUAACUGGGCGUCAUAGUUGCUAGGAUUAGACCCGAAACCGAGUGAUCUAGCCAUGGGCAGGUUGAAGAUUGAGUAACAUCAAUUGGAGGACCGAACCGACUAAUGUUGAAAAAUUAGCGGAUGACUUGUGGCUAGGGGUGAAAGGCCAAUCAAACUCGGAGAUAGCUGGUUCUCCCCCGAAAGCUAUUUAGGUAGCGCCUCGGACGAAUACUACUGGGGGUAGAGCACUGUUAAGGCUAGGGGGUCAUCCCGACUUACCAACCCUUUGCAAACUCCGAAUACCAGUAAGUACUAUCCGGGAGACACACGGCGGGUGCUAACGUCCGUCGUGAAGAGGGAAACAACCCAGACCGCCAGCUAAGGUCCCAAAGUUAUAGCUAAGUGGGAAACGAUGUGGGAAGGCUCAGACAGCCAGGAUGUUGGCUUAGAAGCAGCCAUCAUUUAAAGAAAGCGUAAUAGCUCACUGGUCGAGUCGGCCUGCGCGGAAGAUUUAACGGGGCUAAGCUAUACACCGAAGCUGCGGCAAUGUGCUAUGCACAUUGGGUAGGGGAGCGUUCUGUAAGCCGUUGAAGGUGCAUUGUAAAGUGUGCUGGAGGUAUCAGAAGUGCGAAUGCUGACAUGAGUAACGACAAAGGGAGUGAAAAACUCCCUCGCCGGAAGACCAAGGGUUCCUGUCCAACGUUAAUCGGGGCAGGGUGAGUCGACCCCUAAGGCGAGGCCGAAAGGCGUAGUCGAUGGGAAACGGUUAAUAUUCCCGUACUUCUUACUAUUGCGAUGGGGGGACGGAGAAGGCUAGGUGAGCCUGGCGACGGUUGUCGCCGGAAGACCAAGGGUUCCUGUCCAACGUUAAUCGGGGCAGGGUGAGUCGACCCCUAAGGCGAGGCCGAAAGGCGUAGUCGAUGGGAAACGGGUUAAUAUUCCCGUACUUCUUACUAUUGCGAUGGGGGGACGGAGAAGGCUAGGUGAGCCUGGCGACGGUUGUCCAGGUCCAAGUACGUAGGUGGAUGAAUUAGGCAAAUCCGGUUCAUCACUAACACUGAGAUACGAUGUCGAGCUACUACGGUAGCGAAGUCAUUGAUGCCAUGCUUCCGGGAAAAGCCUCUAAGCUUCAGAUAGUAAGAAAUCGUCCCCAAACCGACACAGGUGGUCGGUAGAGAAUACCAAGCGCUUGAGAGAACUCGGGUGAAGGAACUAGGCAAAAUGGUACCGUAACUUCGGAGAAGGUACGCUCUUAACGGUGAAGUCCCUCGCGGAUGGAGCUGUCGAGAGUCGCAGAUACCAGGUGGCUGCAACUGUUUAUUAAAAACACAGCACUGUGCAAAAUCGAAAGUGACGUAUACGGUGUGACGCCUGCCCGGUGCCGGAAGGUUAAUUGAUGGGGUUAGACGUAAGUCGAAGCUCUUGAUCGAAGCCCCGGUAAACGGCGGCCGUAACUAUAACGGUCCUAA
rnacentral:rRNA from 1 species